rnacentral:rRNA from 1 species
CAGUAGCCACGGUAAUACGGAGGGUGCAAGCGUUAAUCGGAAUUACUGGGCGUAAAGCGUGCGUAGGCGGUUUGUUAAGUCUGCUGUGAAAUCCCCGGGCUCAACCUGGGAAUGGCAGUGGAUACUGGCAAGCUAGAGUGUGUCAGAGGAUGGUGGAAUUCCCGGUGUAGCGGUGAAAUGCGUAGAGAUCGGGAGGAACAUCAGUGGCGAAGGCGGCCAUCUGGGACAACACUGACGCUGAGGCACGAAAGCGUGGGGAGCAAACAGGAUUAGAUACCCCGUAGUCCCUGUCUCUUAUACA